rnacentral:rRNA from 1 species
AGGACGAACGCUGGCGGCGUGCUUAACACAUGCAAGUCGAACGGAAAGGCCCGCUUGCGGGUACUCGAGUGGCGAACGGGUGAGUAACACGUGGGCAACCUGCCCUCAGCUCUGGGAUAACUCCGGGAAACCGGGGCUAAUACUGGAUAUUGACUUCUGCUCGCAUGGGUGGUUGUUGAAAGUUUUUCGGCUGGGGGAUGGGCCCGCGGCCUAUCAGCUUGUUGGUGGGGUGAUGGCCUACCAAGGCGACGACGGGUAGCCGGCCUGAGAGGGCGACCGGCCACACUGGGACUGAGACACGGCCCAGACUCCUACGGGAGCGGCAGUGGGGAAUAUUGCGCAAUGGGCGGAAGCCUGACGCAGCGACGCCGCGUGAGGGAUGACGGCCUUCGGGUUGUAAACCUCUUUCAGCUCUGACGAAGCGUGAGUGACGGUAGGAGCAGAAGAAGCACCGGCCAACUACGUGCCAGCAGCCGC